UAUUAUACCUAAAUGAAGUUUACAGCUUGAGGAUUAAGAGAUAGGUUCUUGAAAUUUAAAGAAUUUGGCGGUAACUUAGUCUUGUCAGGGGAACCUGUUUUUAAAUCGAUACUCCACGAAAGAUUUUACUUAAACUUAAAAGCUUGUAUACCGUCAUUAUCAGAUAAUUUUAAAAGGAUGAAUUAUUGCAUAGGUAAUUUCAGUGAAAUUAGAUCAAGGUGCAGCCAAUGUUUAAGUUAAAAUGGGUUACAAUAAGAUUUAUUUACACGAAAGGUGGAAGAAACUAAACCCAGAAGGAGGAUUUGAUUGUAUUGUGAUUUUAUUAAGGUCAGAAGAUAUAAGCUCUAAGUUAU
rnacentral:rRNA from 1 species